GACUUCCCUAUUAAACUGUCUUUAUCUCCACCCAUGAGUUUUUUAGCUUUUGCCCUUUUGAAGCUCUGUCUGAUCCUGCUGGUAGGGGAGUGAGUGAGGUGCUGCAUGGAGCUUGGUUGCUGGCUGGGGUUAAACCACAACACUGGUGUUCAUUGAACCCAGGAGAAAAGUUUCUUAUAAUAUUGCAAGCUUAGAUACUUUAUGUCAGAGACCAGAUUUGUAUCUCACCGGGUAGUUUGAGUGAUGGGUCAAAUAAACUCAUGUCUGGGGGUGGGGGGGAGAAGGGCUAGGCCUAGGCCUGCAGCAAAUAUGGCCCAGAGCACACGGCAGGGAAAGCUGUGUAGCUAGGCUGUCAAUAAGGUCUGCCUGGUGGUCCACCCACACUGUGCCCCCUAAUUGUCUGUGGCACCCCUCACUUUGGCAAGUGGGACCAUGAGUGGUCAGUAAACCAAAAGUCCUGGCUAGAGGGAGUGGCCACAACAGCCAAAGUCUAUAAACAGACACGCAGGAGGUUUCCAUAUUGCCUUGGCCUGUAGUUCUCCUUGUCAGUCAACUUGUGACCUUUUAAAUGAAGAAACAUGCUUGAGUCAACUUAGAACAUUUAUACCUAAAUGACAUUCAUGUACAGAGAUAUGUUCACAUAUGUAGCAGCAUUAUAAAUGCUGCAUAUUUCAUUGGAACUCCAUGAAUCACUGACAGUUCGCUUUUAAAGGUUCUGCUUCACUACAGAAAGAAAGGAAGCAAGCAAGGAAGGAAGACCCAAACACCUAAAACCAGGAAUAAAAAAACAUUUAUUCUCAUCCCAUUGACACUUAGAGCUCCACUAACUUUAAUAUGUUAUUCUGAUGUAUACCAGAACAAGAGAAGAACCAAAUUAAGUGUACCUCCAACUUCACUCCCUUCCCUCUGUGCACAUUUGUAUGCUACUGGCUCCUUUGCCCUAAAGUGGUUCUCCAGUCUUCUCUUUGCCACAGCACAAAGACAAUCCCAAGGCUGUCCUGAAGUUCAUUUGCUGAGGUUAUACAGGGCACUGAGUGCCCUGAUAUCAACGUGCUGAAUAUAAGGUGCUGCUGGAAUUCCAUCUUUGAGUUUAAAGUUUUCUCAUAAAA